CUUGCGGGGUGGAUCAGUGGCGAACGGGUGAGUAACACGUGAGCAACCUGCCCCUGACUCUGGGAUAAGCGCUGGAAACGGCGUCUAAUACUGGAUACGAGACGUGAUCGCAUGGUCAACGUUUGGAAAGAUUUUUCGGUUGGGGAUGGGCUCGCGGCCUAUCAGCUUGUUGGUGAGGUAAUGGCUCACCAAGGCGUCGACGGGUAGCCGGCCUGAGAGGGUGACCGGCCACACUGGGACUGAGACACGGCCCAGACUCCUACGGGAGGCAGCAGUGGGGAAUAUUGCACAAUGGGCGCAAGCCUGAUGCAGCAACGCCGCGUGAGGGAUGACGGCCUUCGGGUUGUAAACCUCUUUUAGCAGGGAAGAAGCGAGAGUGACGGUACCUGCAGAAAAAGCACCGGCUAACUACGUGCCAGCAGCCGCGGUAAUACGUAGGGUGCAAGCGUUAUCCGGAAUUAUUGGGCGUAAAGAGCUCGUAGGCGGUUUGUCGCGUCUGCUGUGAAAUCUGGGGGCUCAACCCCCAGCCUGCAGUGGGUACGGGCAGACUAGAGUGCGGUAGGGGAGAUUGGAAUUCCUGGUGUAGCGGUGGAAUGCGCAGAUAUCAGGAGGAACACCGAUGGCGAAGGCAGAUCUCUGGGCCGUAACUGACGCUGA
rnacentral:rRNA from 1 species